GAACGCUAGCGGCAGGCUUAACACAUGCAAGUCGAGGGGCAGCAUGAGGGUUAGCAAUAACCCUUGAUGGCGACCGGCGCAAGGGUGCGUAACGCGUGAGCAACUUGCCCGUUUCAGGGGGAUAACCGGUGGAAACGCCGACUAAUACCCCAUGGUGAUGGUUUGAGGCAUCUCUUUCCAUCUAAAGAAUCUCGGAAACGGAUAGGCUCGCGUGACAUUAGCUAGAUGGCGGGGUAACGGCCCACCAUGGCGACGAUGUCUAGGGGUUCUGAGAGGAAGGUCCCCCACACUGGAACUGAGACACGGUCCAGACUCCUACGGGAGGCAGCAGUGAGGAAUAUUGGUCAAUGGUCUGACGACUGAACCAGCCAUGCCGCGUGAAGGUCACGGCCCUAUGGGUCUUAAACUUCUUUUGCAAGGGAGCAAUAAGGUCUACGUGUAGAUCGAUGAGAGUACCUUGCGAAUAAGCAUCGGCUAACUCCGUG
rnacentral:rRNA from 1 species